rnacentral:rRNA from 1 species
GACGAACCGUGCGAACGUUGUUCGGAUUCACUGGGCUUAAAGGGCGCGUAGGCGGCUUGCCAAGUCAGGGGUGAAAUCUUUCGGCUCAACCGGAAAAGUGCUUCUGAUACUGGCGGGCUGGAGGAGGGUAGGGGCGGAUGGAACUUCCGGUGGAGCGGUGAAAUGCGUAGAUAUCGGAAGGAACGCCGGUGGCGAAAGCGAUCCGCUGGACCCUUUCUGACGCUGAGGCGCGAAAGCCAGGGGAGCAAACAGG